UCUCUCUCUCUCUCUCUCUCUCUCUCUCUCUCUCUUUAAUGAACUAGGAGGCAAUGUGGGAAAACAUAGAGGAAGAAAUUACAGCAUUGUCGGCAUGCUCUGUGAAUUCUGGCUCUUCUUACAGUCUGAGUACACACCUCUAGCUCAUCCAGAUGGAUAUUCAUUCUGAAUAAAAUAUUCGUAUUUGGUUACAUUCCUAAUAUAUCUAUAUGAAGAGAAUAUUUUAUAUGCACCUGUCUGUGCUAUUUGGUUGAGCUUCCUCGCAGAGCUGUGCCGAGGGGACAUGAAGAUCUGAAGAUGUGACAGGAUGUCUUUUUACACUGUCCAUGAAGGUGAUAGCAUCUAGAGGGGUUUUGCUGCAGCAUCUUUGCAGUUAUUCAGAUAUGUUGCCAAGGUCCUUGCAGAGGACUUUUUGAAAACUGAUAAACUACCACAGAUUAUGACAGAAUAUCAGUCUGGCCAUACUGUUCCAGGUCAUGUGACAUACAGUUGUGAUCAUAAAUUUAUAUACCC
ensembl:lncRNA